rnacentral:rRNA from 1 species
UGGGGAAUCUUGCGCAAUGGCCGAAAGGCUGACGCAGCGACGCCGCGUGUGGGAUGAAGCAUUUCGGUGUGUAAACCACUGUUGCCCGGGACGAAUAUCCUUUUUCGAAAGGAUUGACGGUACCGGGUGAGGAAGCACCGGCUAACUCCGUGCCAGCAGCCGCGGUAAUACGGAGGGUGCGAGCGUUGUCCGGAAUCACUGGGCGUAAAGGGCGCGUAGGCGGCGCGGGCAGUCAACGGUGAAAGCUUGGGGCUCAACCCCGAGUCGGCCGUCGAUACUCCCGUGCUGGAGCACUGUAGAGGCAGGUGGAAUUCCGGGUGUAGCGGUGGAAUGCGUAGAGAUCCGGAAGAACACCGGUGGCGAAGGCGGCCUGCUGGGCAGUAGCUGACACUGAUGCGCGACAGCGUGGGGAGCAAACAG